GGAAGGAUCAUUACUGAAUUGUCAAACGGGCUGUUGCUGGUCCUCAAAUGGGGACACGUGCACGCUCUGUUUACACAUCCACUCACACCUGUGCACCCUCUGUAGUUCUACGGUAUGGGGGACCCCGUCUUCCUUCUGUGGUUCUAUGUCUUUACACACACACUGUAAUAAAGUCUUAUGGAAUGUAUGCCGCGUCUAACGCAAUACAAUACAACUUUCAGCAACGGAUCUCUUGGCUCUCGCAUCGAUGAAGAACGCAGCGAAAUGCGAUAAGUAAUGUGAAUUGCAGAAUUCAGUGAAUCAUCGAAUCUUUGAACGCACCUUGCGCCCCUUGGCUAUUCCGAGGGGCAUGCCUGUUUGAGUAUCAUGAACACCUCAACUCUCAUGGUUUGCCAUGACGAGCUUGGACCUUGGGGGUUUUGCUGGCCUGUGGUCGGCUCCUCUCAAAUGAAUCAGCCUCCCAGUGUUUGGUGGCGUCACGAGUGUGAUAACUAUCUACGCUCGCGGUUGUCCACCAGGUAACCUUUGGUGACAAAGGUUCGCUGGAGCUCAUAGAUGUCUCUCCUCAGCGAGGACAGCUUUUUAACGUUCGAUCUCAAAUCAGGUAGGACUACCCGCUGAACUUAAGCAUAUCAAUAAGCGGAGGAAAAGAAACUAACAAGGAUUCCCCUAGUAACUGCGAGUGAAGCGGGAAGAGCUCAAAUUUAAAAUCUGGCGUGCCUCUGGUCGU
rnacentral:rRNA from 1 species